rnacentral:rRNA from 1 species
UACGAAGGGUGCUAGCGUUGUUCGGAAUCACUGGGCGUAAAGCGCGCGUAGGCGGCUAUUCAAGUCAGGGGUGAAAUCCUGAGGCUCAACCUCAGAAUUGCCUUUGAAACUGUAUAGCUAGAGUGUCGGAGGGGAUAGCGGAAUUGCUAAUGUAGAGGUGAAAUUCGUAGAUAUUAGCAGGAACACCGGUGGCGAAGGCGGCUAUCUGGACGACAACUGACGCUUAGGCGCGAAAGCGUGGGGAUCAAACAGG